rnacentral:rRNA from 1 species
CUACGGGCUGCAGCAGUGGGGAAUUUUGGACAGUGGGCGCAAGCCUGAUCCAGCCAUGCCGCGUGAGUGAAGAAGGCCUUCGGGUUGUAAAGCUCUUUCGGCGGGGAAGAAACGGUCCGUGACAACACCACGGACUAAUGACGGUACUCGCAGAAGAAGCACCGGCUAACUACGUGCCAGCAGCCGCGAGUAAUACGUAGGGUGCAGGCGUUAAUCGGAAUUACUGGGCGUAAAGCGUGCGCAGGCGGCUCCUUAAGUCAGAUGUGAAAUCCCCGGGCUUAACCUGGGAACUGCGUUUGAAACUGGGGGGCUGGAGUGUGGCAGAGGGGGGUGGAAUUCCAGGUGUAGCAGUGAAAUGCGUAGAGAUCUGGAGGAACACCGAUGGCGAAGGCAGCCCCCUGGGCUGACACUGACGCUCAUGCACGAAAGCGUGGGGAGCAAACAGGAUUAGAUACCCCGGUAGUC